UAGCUGUUUUAUAAAUUGAACAUAUGGAAGUGUAUAGUGAAAUCAAACGACCAGAGUAUCAAAUUAAUAUAUUAUAAUAUCUAUUAUUUGGUCUAAAGAUUGUUUGAAAGGCUGACUUGAAAUUGAGGCUUCGGGACUUGUAACAGGAAGUAAAUACAAAACUAGUUUAUAAAUUCCUAAAUGUUACCAUGUAAAUUAUGUUUAAAAAAGUUUGGCCCGGAAUUGACUCAAAAUUGAAGCAAUACGCAGUAUACAUGCUUUGCUCUAAAUGUAAACGAAGGAUUUCGUUUGUUAAAAUGUGCCAUAAAAGUAAUUUCGUCGAGGUGCUAAUGUCAAUGAAAAUCUAACUACGAUAAAUAACUCAAUACUCAACUGAACUGAAAAUAAUAUGAAGCUUGAUUACUAAAAGUCCAAAAAACUUCGUUAGCAAUAAAUAUGUGUUAGAUGAUACUUAACUAGGGAGUUAGUACUUAUGAAGAACGAGUUACUCGCUUUGUCUUAACUUGUAAUAUCAACACGCACAUUACUCAAUAAGCGAGUAGAUUUAAAGAUUUAAAUCAUGGCCUUUUAAGAACGUAGGUAUUGGAGUUAAAUAAGAUAAGAAUGUCGACAUUAUUAUGUAAUGAAGGAAGAAGUUGUAAUUGUACCGAGAACGUAUAAAUUGCCGAAAACCUCGUAAAGUAGAUAAAAUGACAAACCAUAUUUUUGUAGUAAUAUAAUUUUAUUUCACUGUAUACAUAAUGCACGAUUGUAUAUACACUUACGGCGGAUGGUGUUUUAACAUAAUUAUUUUCUUAUACAUUAUAUUUUUUUACUUUCAGUCUUAUAUUAUCCUUCGAAUUCAAUUUAAAUGUUAGUGUUUUGCUAGCGCCUUAAUAUCACCUUAAAGUACUAAAAUUAAGGAACUUAAGUACUAAUGUUAUCUAUUCUAGACUUGUUUUGUGAAAGGUAUAUUCUUAUCUCGGUGGAACAAAUGCCUACUCAUAUUCCACAUCACGAUACAAUAUGGAUCAAAACCUACUAGAAAAUUUAAAGACAUAGUAUGGAAGAGAUCCAAACAUAAUGUUUUCGUGAUGCUAGAAGAUUAUCCAUAUAUUCUUAUAGUGCUACCUAACCCUUAUUCAUAAAAUACUUAGCGAUACUUACUCCAUCCAAUCGUAAGUUUUUAUAAAUAAGGGGGCUAUUCAAACGCUCACAAUGAAACUUAGUAUACGUUUUUGUGAGUAUUAACUAUCGCAGUCCUGGGAUUAACUAAAGCCCAUAUUAAUAUCCAAUUUAUGAUACAAUCAUUGAUAGAUUGAUUUUUCAGUCGCUCAAUGUAUGAUAUCAAUCUGCAGUUGGAUAUUAAUAUGGACAAUGACCCUUCUGUGUUUGUUAUAAAUAUUCUGUAUACAAACAUAGCUAUUAAUCUUUUUCCUAUAACAUAUUGUUUAGCGUGCUGUUUGAAACUUUUUGAGCUUGACGUUUUAUUCUAAUGUACACUUUAUAUCUACACUAACCGCACUAAAAUAUUUAGGUAACUACUAAUGUUAACUCGCGAAAUUCUAUUAGGGUUUUACUAGGAUUGUAAAGCACACUUUAAAUUAGGGAUAAAUUCUUAUGUAAGUAAGUACUUAAGCAAUCGGGGAAUAUACGUAGGUACUUUUUGUACAAAAAACAUUGUUUUGUAUUGGAAUAUAAUAUUCACGAUGCCAUGCCAAAAUACUAAUCUGUAGCCUUCUAUCAAGAGAAGAAUAAAUCAUAAUUUAAAGUGGGUCAGAUGCUAUAUCCUGAGAACUGUAAUAGAAUCAUUGGAACUAUUUUGUGCCAUUAAAACAAUUAUUGUACAUAUUAUACCGCGUGUACGCUAAGUUUAGAGCCUGUUUCACAAUGUCUGUAUAAAACAUGAUUACAAAGAGUGGCAGCAAGUCUUAUCCCACAGGUAGCCAUUGCCCAGACAUUGUGAAACACGCUCAUAGAGUGUUCUAGUACUUAUAGGUGUGACUAACGCAACGCUGUCAAUUUGUGUGUUUCAUCGUACCAAAAAUAUAGUAUUUUGUGAACAUACCUACAACCUUUAUAAGAAAACGAUAAGGGCUCUAAACCUUGCCAAUUGUACUUGAUUGUAAAUAAACGCAAAUUGUAUGUAAUAUAUUUUUGUCUGUAGUGUAUUUUUGUGUCAAUGAAUUGCAUAAUUUAGUUCGUAAGUUGUAAUAACUGUAAGCGUGGUAAAGUAAGGAUAGUCUAGAUAAGUAAAAGGAAGGCAUUAUGUGAUAAAUGUAAUAUGCGAUUUCAUUGUAGGUAUUAUUAUAAUUGUUUUAUAUUUUUUGCUAUCUUUAUGGAUUAUUUUUUAAUAAUUGAAAAUGUAUCGUUAAUAUAAUAAUUAUAGUAACUGAAGUUCUAUCCUAGUAAGAUAAGUAAGAGGUUUUGUUUAUCAGAUAAAAAAUACAAAAAGGUUACAAAUAAUGAAGUAGAAUAAUCUGUGUAAUUAGAUCCUUGAGAGAGUUACUGAGGUAUGUUAAUGUUGUUAUAGCUUUAUGUAAAAAAGGAAACCAAAAGUGUUAUUAUGUUUUAAGAUUGAAAAUUGUUUAGGAUAUGGUAUUGUGACAUAGUUGCAUGUAUUUGAAGUUUAAUGCUUAAGUGGAACCGUAACAAAGUGUAUUUAACAGCGUAAAGUAUUGUCUGUGAUCUAAUUAAUUCUUGAAGCUGUCUGUGGUCGGAGCUACGGUACAUUUAGCUCAAUCUUUGUAUUUUUUUUUAUCUUCAGUAUUGGCUCAAAGUAUUUAAAAACGGGAUAGAAGCCUGUGUAUCAAUGCGAUGCAUUCGGUGUCCUUUGACUUCUCUGAUUCUCUAUCUAUAUGCUGGUAAUUUCAGGCUAAAGCUAUAUACUAAAACCCACGAGAUAAAAGCUGUUAGUAAAGUGUUUCUAGGGUGUGCUAGGCUACAAGUAUCUGCAUAUACAUACAUAGAUAGCUUCUAAUUUUGUAAAUUGUCUUCCUUCAGAGUUUUUAAAUGUAAUUAGAUAACCAUUGCUAUCAUUGCAAUAUUAAACCGAAAUUUGGGACAAACAUAACAAAUUAUUCAAAGUCCUAGCCUCCCCUAGAUCCUCUUCAUGUAUACAUAGAUAAAACUACAAUAAGAGAAUUACAGUAAAACAUACUUACCAACAAAAUAUUUUUUUUGUAGCGCCACUAUAUAAAUGUCUCAAUUUUAAUUAGUAGCGCUAGUAACAUAAUAUUUAUAUGAAAUGGCCGAACUAAAGCAACUUAUCACCAAGAUAAUAAUAUAAAUAAAUAGUUAGAUUAAUUGUUACCUACGCAUCCACCGAACGACAUUUGUACAUAACCAAUUCAUUAAAUAUUAAUGAUGACUGA